CCAGUGGCUCAGCAGUAAAGAAUCUGCCUGCAAUGCAGGAGAUGCAAGUUCAAUCCCUGUCUGG
rnacentral:tRNA from 1 species